rnacentral:lncRNA from 1 species
UCCAAUACAUUGUGGCUGAAUCCACUUCAAGUUGGGGUUUUUUUGGGGGUUUUUUUUGGUUGGGUUUUUUUUUUUUUUUUUGCCUCUCACAAAGGAGAAUCCCAGAUACCUAGAGGCCAGAGGUCCAGGGCGAUGGGUGGGCUGUGUCGGGGCCCGGCCCAGCCUGGCCUUCCGACAGCAUCCAGGCAGGCCCUCUUUCCCUCCACCGUCUUGGAUGGGCUUAAUUUAUUGUAGGAAACCCUUGAAGGCGCAGGAGCUUUUGGAGAGCCGGGGACAAUAGGCAUAAAGCAUGCAUUUAAGCCGUCUGAAUGGAGGCUAGAUUUACUGUCUGGGCCAGACGGGAUUUUUGUCCCCAAGUCAUCUCGGAGUACAUUGGCCACUAAAGAUCUCAACAGAAGACGAAGACGGAACAAAAGAAGUAAAUUUUAAAAGGAACUUUGUCAAGGAGUUUUAGAUGUUCACCAGAUAGAAAACCGCGGCUGCCCUCACCGAAAUGACUUUUGGAUUUGCCCAGUGGUUAUGGAUCAGAGGAAGAUGCUAAUGAAGUCGUUUAAAUGCACGUUUGAUGGACCCCAGAGAAUGGGACCAAUUUCAUACAAGCCCACAGCAAGGUUAAGGAAUGAAAGAAGGUGGCCGUUAGAGUUGCUGCCGGGGACAAGGCUCCAUUGUCGGGGCUGCCUUUUUCAGCCGUGAAGCGUGAAGCGUGUUUUGAACUACAGUGUUUACCAACGUGUACAUCCUAGUCUGGCCGACCGGGCCUGCAGAAUUUAUGACCAGGAACAAACCUCUUAGAGGGGAAAAGAAAACAGCUCUUACCAGCUGGGAAAGGAGCUCAGAUCAUGCCCUGGAGAAGCAGGUGACAUCGCGGAAUUUUCCUGUUCCAGAUGCCAGAAGUCUGAAAUGAAGGUGUAAAGCAGGGUGGUUCCUUCUGGAGGCUCUGAGAGAAUCACCCCAGGCCUCUCUCCAGCUUCUGGUGCUGGUAUUCUCAGGCUUGUAGGCGCAUCACCCAUGUCUGCCUCCAUCUUCACAUGGCCUUCUCCUCUGUGUCUGCCUGAAGUCUCCCUUCAUUUCUCUUGUAAGGACAUCAGUCAUUGGAUUUAGAGCCCACCCUAAACCCAGAAUGAUCUCAUCUCAAGAUUACAUCUGCACAGACGCUAUUUCCAGAUAAGGUCACAGUCAAAGGUACCAGGGGUUAGGAUAUGAACAUAUCUUUUUGAAAGACACGAUUUAACCUACAGCAGGUGCUCAGGGCAGUUGGGUGGGGGCCUGUGCUAGGGGCCCAACAGCCAAGGCUUAAAGCCGCACUCCACACCUAGGCCUGUGACACCUCCCACAAGCUUCUUCACCUCUCAAGCCUCAACUUCUACUUCUGCAAACAGGGAACAAUAAAAGUAUCUCCCUGCCCCCACCUUGCAGGGUUUCCAGUUCCAAUGUCUACACACUCACCUGGGAGUUAUCUGAAAUUGUUGUUCACCUGCUUAAACCUUUUGAGUUUCCAGCACCCCCCAGAAGUCCCCACCCUCUAGUCCCUUAGCAAGAUACUGGCCCUGCGUGAGCUUCCCACCUUCCUUGACAGCUGCAUCUCUCAUCAUUAGGACCUGGGCAACACUGCAGAAUAUGGCAGGUCUUCCCUCAUCUCUGUGCUUUGCCUCCAUUCCCUGACUUCUCUCCCAUCCUCCUCCUGUCACCUGGCCUCUCCCCAUCCUACUGGCCUUAAAGCUCAGCUCCUGAAGCCUCCCUGAUGCUCCUCCCUUCAUAGCCCCUCCCAGCCUGGCCACGUGGGCUCGGGCAGCCCAGAGCCUGGGCCUCCUGGUCACACUCUGAGCACACAGCCCAUUUUCUCUCCAGUGCUGGCUUGUGUUUGACACCAUGCCUGACACAUUGGGGGUGCUCAGUAGACCUGUGUGAGAUGGACAGCCUCCCGUACAGAUGGACGGACAGAUGUACAGGUAGGUGAAUGAACUUUCGUUGCCCCUAAAGCAGGAGAGACUCUGAGUUUCUGAGACAACGGCCAAGAACUUUCUGAUAAGAUCUCUGCAUUUAAGGUUCAGAAAAACUCGAUGAGGACAAUAUUUUUCUCCCGAUUUUGCAGAUAAGAAAAUAGAGGCAUAGAGAAGUCACUUGCUAGUAAAUGUUAGAGGCAGCUUUCUAACCCAGGUCCAUGUGAACCCAGAAAAAGAGGCAGUGAGCACCUGUUCACCCAGGAGCAGCUCUCAGAAGAUAAGAUAAUACGAGGAGGAGGCAGCAGACCCCUAUGCCACGCGUCCACCUGGGGCUGUCCAUCACUUCCUGCAAGAUCUUGCUGGUAGCCAGAUUCUCAGAGACCCCCAGUGAGCCCCGCCUCCUGGUUUUCACACCCUGUGUAGUUUCCUUUCCCCAGGGAUGGUCCAAGUGACCAGCAGCCCGUGGCAGAAGUGAUGGAAUAGCACUUCCAAGCUUAGGUUAUGAAAGAUUGCAGCUUCAAUCUCCUGCCCCACACCCCGUCUCUCUCUCUAACCCC